rnacentral:misc_RNA from 1 species
UUUCCGUAGGUGAACCUGCGGAAGGAUCAUUAUCGUACAAAAUGUGAGGGGCAUGCGAGGGCUGUCGCUGACCCACAAGUCGUGCACGCCCGAGUGUGUCCUCUUGCAUAAUAAUCCAUCUCAUCCUUUGUGCAUCACCGCGUGGGCACCCUUCGGGAUCAUCUCGGAGGGGGGCUCGCGUUUUCACACAAACCCCCCCUUUUAAAAGUGUAGAAUGACCACAUUUAUGCAAUCAAUACAACUUUCAACAACGGAUCUCUUGGCUCUC